GGUUAAGCGACUAAGCGUACACGGUGGAUGCCCUGGCAGUCAGAGGCGAUGAAGGACGUGCUAAUCUGCGAAAAGCGUCGGUAAGGUGAUAUGAACCGUUAUAACCGGCGAUGUCCGAAUGGGGAAACCCAGUGCAAUUCGUUGCACUAUCGUUAACUGAAUACAUAGGUUAACGAGGCGAACCGGGGGAACUGAAACAUCUAAGUACCCCGAGGAAAAGAAAUCAACCGAGAUUCCCCCAGUAGCGGCGAGCGAACGGGGAGCAGCCCAGAGUCUGAAUCAGCUUGUGUGUUAGUGGAACGGUCUGGAAAGUCCGACGGUACAGGGUGAUAGUCCCGUACACCAAAAUGCACAGGCUGUGAACUCGAAGAGUAGGGCGGGACACGUGGUAUCCUGUCUGAAUAUGGGGGGACCAUCCUCCAAGGCUAAAUACUCCUGACUGACCGAUAGUGAACCAGUACCGUGAGGGAAAGGCGAAAAGAACCCCGGCGAGGGGAGUGAAAAAGAACCUGAAACCGUGUACGUACAAGCAGUGGGAGCACCUUCGGGUGUGACUGCGUACCUUUUGUAUAAUGGGUCAGCGACUUAUAUUCUGUAGCAAGGUUAACCGUAUAGGGGAGCCGCAGGGAAACCGAGUCUUAACUGGGCGUUAAGUUGCAGGGUAUAGACCCGAAACCCGGUGAUCUAGCCAUGGGCAGGUUGAAGGUUGGGUAACACUAACUGGAGGACCGAACCGACUAAUGUUGAAAAAUUAGCGGAUGACUUGUGGCUGGGGGUGAAAGGCCAAUCAAACCGGGAGAUAGCUGGUUCUCCCCGAAAGCUAUUUAGGUAGCGCCUCGUGAACUCAUCUUCGGGGGUAGAGCACUGUUUCGGCUAGGGGUCAUCCCGACUUACCAACCCGAUGCAAACUACGAAUACCGAAGAAUGUUAUCACGGGAGACACACGGCGGGUGCUAACGUCCGUCGUGAAGAGGGAAACAACCCAGACCGCCAGCUAAGGUCCCAAAGUCAUGGUUAAGUGGGAAACGAUGUGGGAAGGCACAGACAGCCAGGAUGUUGGCUUAGAAGCAGCCAUCAUUUAAAGAAAGCGUAAUAGCUCACUGGUCGAGUCGGCCUGCGCGGAAGAUGUAACGGGGCUAAACCAUGCACCGAAGCUGCGGCAGCGACACUAUGUGUUGUUGGGUAGGGGAGCGUUCUGUAAGCCUGCGAAGGUGUGCUGUGAGGCAUGCUGGAGGUAUCAGAAGUGCGAAUGCUGACAUAAGUAACGAUAAAGCGGGUGAAAAGCCCGCUCGCCGGAAGACCAAGGGUUCCUGUCCAACGUUAAUCGGGGCAGGGUGAGUCGACCCCUAAGGCGAGGCCGAAAGGCGUAGUCGAUGGGAAACAGGUUAAUAUUCCUGUACUUGGUGUUACUGCGAAGGGGGGACGGAGAAGGCUAUGUUAGCCGGGCGACGGUUGUCCCGGUUUAAGCAUGUAGGCUGAUUGUCCAGGCAAAUCCGGAUAAUCAAGGCUGAGGUGUGAUGACGAGGCACUACGGUGCUGAAGUAACAAAUGCCCUGCUUCCAGGAAAAGCCUCUAAGCAUCAGGUAACAUUAAAUCGUACCCCAAACCGACACAGGUGGUCAGGUAGAGAAUACCAAGGCGCUUGAGAGAACUCGGGUGAAGGAACUAGGCAAAAUGGUGCCGUAACUUCGGGAGAAGGCACGCUGGUGUGUAGGUGAAGUCCCUGCGGAUGGAGCUGAGACCAGUCGAAGAUACCAGCUGGCUGCAACUGUUUAUUAAAAACACAGCACUGUGCAAACACGAAAGUGGACGUAUACGGUGUGACGCCUGCCCGGUGCCGGAAGGUUAAUUGAUGGGGUUAUCCGUAAGGAGAAGCUCUUGAUCGAAGCCCCGGUAAACGGCGGCCGUAACUAUAACGGUCCUAAGGUAGCGAAAUUCCUUGUCGGGUAAGUUCCGACCUGCACGAAUGGCGUAAUGAUGGCCAGGCUGUCUCCACCCGAGACUCAGUGAAAUUGAACUCGCUGUGAAGAUGCAGUGUACCCGCGGCAAGACGGAAAGACCCCGUGAACCUUUACUAUAGCUUGACACUGAACAUUGAGCCUUGAUGUGUAGGAUAGGUGGGAGGCUUUGAAGCGUGGACGCCAGUCUGCGUGGAGCCAACCUUGAAAUACCACCCUUUAAUGUUUGAUGUUCUAACGUUGGCCCCUGACCGGGGUUGCGGACAGUGUCUGGUGGGUAGUUUGACUGGGGCGGUCUCCUCCCAAAGCGUAACGGAGGAGCACGAAGGUUAGCUAAUCCUGGUCGGACAUCAGGAGGUUAGUGCAAUGGCAUAAGCUAGCUUGACUGCGAGCGUGACGGCGCGAGCAGGUGCGAAAGCAGGUCAUAGUGAUCCGGUGGUUCUGAAUGGAAGGGCCAUCGCUCAACGGAUAAAAGGUACUCCGGGGAUAACAGGCUGAUACCGCCCAAGAGUUCAUAUCGACGGCGGUGUUUGGCACCUCGAUGUCGGCUCAUCACAUCCUGGGGCUGAAGUAGGUCCCAAGGGUAUGGCUGUUCGCCAUUUAAAGUGGUACGCGAGCUGGGUUUAGAACGUCGUGAGACAGUUCGGUCCCUAUCUGCCGUGGGCGCUGGAGAAUUGAGGGGGGCUGCUCCUAGUACGAGAGGACCGGAGUGGACGCAUCACUGGUGUUCGGGUUGUCAUGCCAAUGGCACUGCCCGGUAGCUAAAUGCGGAAGAGAUAAGUGCUGAAAGCAUCUAAGCACGAAACUUGCCCCGAGAUGAGUUCUCCCUGAGACUUUAAGUCUCCUGAAGGAACGUUAAAGACGAUGACGUUGAUAGGCCGGGUGUGUAAGCGCAGCGAUGCGUUGAGCUAACCGGUACUAAUGAACCGUGAGGCUUAACCUU
rnacentral:rRNA from 1 species